rnacentral:lncRNA from 1 species
UGUGUUCCAGAAUUUUCCUGGAACCGGAGUCCCAACAAUUCCAGAAAUUACAGAGCAGGUAUAAGCACAGAAGUGUCUGUCUCCUCUCCUCCUCGUCCUUGUCCAUGUUGUAUAAUUCCCCUCACCUUGUAAUGCUCUUCCUGUUGCAGUUUUGUAUGAGAAAAGCCAGGCGAGGGACACAAUGAACACAAAAAUGCUCGGCACUAAAUUUAGCUAAUAUUCGGUAGUGGGUUAACUUCAUCGUUUUGGAGGUUUUCGUUUUGGAGUUUGUUUUUUGCUGUUUUGUUUUGUUUGAGGAAGGAUCUCUAGCUCUCUUAGGUCCCACUGAAACUCUAUAUAUGGCUCAGGCUGACCUCCAACUUUUUUCUAUUGCGGCAGCCUAUCCCAGAGUAUGUGCAAUUGUGCCUGGCUCAAGCCUUAUCUUUUGACUGGCACCCAACGGGCCUGAACCAUUUCUUCAGGACGUUCUACACUCACCGCAGAGUUAAAAAGACCACUUGGAAGCCCGGGAAAUCCUUUUAUUGGAUUAAGAGCCCAUCGAGUCCUGGAAGAACGGUUUAAAUUUGAGGUGAUGCAAAACCCAUGUCAACAGUAAAUGACUCUUUAACUUCCUUAAAAAGUACGCCGAUACAAUGAAGGAUGAACAGUCCUGUUUAAUUAAAACCUGUCUACUGGCCUGGGGAGAUGGAGAAAAUGAAAAUAUAUGAGUUACACAGUC